AAUAUAGGACUUUACCGGAUCUAGUUGACACUCUAGUUAUGUGAAGAGUUUGUCUGCUUUAAUGUCAAGGUUGAAUGUAAGUUUGAAUUAAAUCCUCUGUAAGCAUCAUUACACCAGUUAGAGAAAUUGAGACUGAAAUUGCAACCGACUGAUUAUCUAAUGGAGGCUGCAGGGAUUUUCAACAUUGAAUUUGUUGGAGCUGCUUUAUUGUUUCCUAUGAAAUGCUGUGUUUUGGGGGCUUGCUUUCAAUU
rnacentral:misc_RNA from 1 species